rnacentral:lncRNA from 1 species
AUGACCUUGAAAUGACUAAAAUAGCAUCAAAAUUAAAGGGUUCACACGUAAUAUUGAGUGCAGUUUAUUCAUUAUCCUACACCUCAUGAGCAAUAUGGAUCAUUUCAAAUGAACUACCACACUAUACAAGAUAAGUGGGACUUCAAGAAGAGACAAAGUCGAAAAAUCAAAAGGCCCAUAAUUCAUUUUUGCAACUAUCAAGUGGCUAGAAAGAGUUCUAAAAAGAAGCACCAAAGAGUAAUAAGAAAGGGUAGCCCAAAAUCUGAAUGAAUCUUCUAAAGAUCAAAACCACCGGAAGGAUGUGAAAUGCCAUUUUUGCCAUAAAGUAGGACUCUAUCAAAAGGAUUGAUUGAAUUGAAAUGCUUGGUUUGAAAAGGAAGGCCAUCAUUGCGCUUAUGAAAAGCAUGAUCAAUUACGAC